CCUACGGGCGGCUGCAGUGGGGAAUAUUGCACAAUGGGGGAAACCCUGAUGCAGCGACGCCGCGUGAGUGAAGAAGUAUUUCGGUAUGUAAAGCUCUAUCAGCAGGGAAGAGAAUGACGGUACCUGAGUAAGAAGCCCCGGCUAACUACGUGCCAGCAGCCGCGGUAAUACGUAGGGGGCAAGCGUUAUCCGGAUUUACUGGGUGUAAAGGGAGCGUAGACGGCGAAGAAAGUCUGAAGUGAAAGCCCGCGGCUCAACCGCGGAACUGCUUUGGAAACUUUUUUGCUGGAGUACCGGAGAGGUAAGCGGAAUUCCUAGUGUAGCGGUGAAAUGCGUAGAUAUUAGGAGGAACACCAGUGGCGAAGGCAGCUUACUAAACUGCCACUGACAUUGAUGCUCGAAAGUGUGGGUAUCAAACAGGAUUAGAUACCCCUGUAGUC
rnacentral:rRNA from 1 species